AUUGAACGCUGGCGGCAGGCCUAACACAUGCAAGUCGAACGGUAGCACAGAGAGCUUGCUAUCGGGUGACGAGUGGCGGACGGGUGAGUAACGUCUGGGAAACUGCCCGAUGGAGGGGGAUGACUACUGGAAACGGUAGCUAAUACCGCAUAACGUCGCAAGACCAAAGUGGGGGACCUUCGGGCCUCACACUAUCGGAUGUGCCCAGAUGGGAUUAGCUAGUAGGCGGGGUAAUGGCUCACCUAGGCGAUGAUCCCUAGCUGGUCUGAGAGGAUGACCAGCCACACUGGAACUGAGACACGGUCCAGACUCCUACGGGAGGCAGCAGUGGGGAAUAUUGCACAAUGGGCGCAAGCCUGAUGCAGCCAUGCCGCGUGUAUGAAGAAGGCCUUCGGGUUGUAAAGUACUUUCAGCGGGGAGGAAGGCGGUGAAGUUAAUAACUUCACCGAUUGACGUUACCCGCAGAAGAAGCACCGGCUAACUCCGUGCCAGCCGCCGCCGUAA
rnacentral:rRNA from 1 species